GCCAGUGUGGUGUAGUGGUCUGAAUGCUGGGCUACAGCUCUGGAGGCUAGGGUUUGAUUCCCCCCUUGGUCA